GAUGAAGAACGUAGCGAAAUGCGAUAAGUAGUGUGAAUUGCAGAAUUCAGUGAAUCAUCGAAUCUUUGAACGCACAUUGCGCCCGCUGGUAUUCCGGCGGGCAUGCCUGUUCGAGCGUCAUUUCAACCCUCAAGCCCCCGGGUUUGGUGUUGGGGAUCGGCUCUGCCCUUCUGGGCGGUGCCGCCCCCGAAAUACAUUGGCGGUCUCGCUGCAGCCUCCAUUGCGUAGUAGCUAACACCUCGCAACUGGAACGCGGCGCGGCCAUGCCGUAAAACCCCAACUUCUGAAUGUUGACCUCGGAUCAGGUAGGAAUACCCGCUGAACUUAAGCAUAUCAAUAAGCGGAGGA
rnacentral:misc_RNA from 1 species